UACGUAGGGUGCAAGCGUUGUCCGGAAUUAUUGGGCGUAAAGGGCGCGUAGGCGGUGCGGUAAGUCACCUGUGAAAUCUCCUGGCUCAACUGGGAGCUUGCAGGCGAAACUGCCGUGCUGGAGUGUGGGAGAGGUGCGUGGAAUUCCCGGUGUAGCGGUGAAAUGCGUAGACAUCGGGAGGAACACCUGUGGCGAAAGCGGCGCACUGGACCACAACUGACGCUGAGGCGCGAAAGCUAGGGGAGCAAACAGG
rnacentral:rRNA from 1 species